rnacentral:rRNA from 1 species
AUACGGAGGAUCCGAGCGUUAUCCGGAUUUAUUGGGUUUAAAGGGUGCGCAGGCGGGAGAUUAAGUCGGCGGUGAAAUUUUGUAGCUCAACUGUAAAAGUGCCUUCGGAACUGGUUUCCUUGAGUGUAGAUGAAGGAGGCGGAAUUUGUGGUGUAGCGGGGGAAUGCAUAGAUAUCACGAGGAACUCCGAUUGCGCAGGCAGCUUACUAAACUACUACUGACGCUCAGGCACGAAGGCGUGGGGAUCAAACAGGAUUAGAUACCCUGGUAGUCCACGCAGUAAACGAUGAUUACUAGCUGUUUGCGAUACAAUGUAAGCGGCUGAGCGAAAGCGUUAAGUAAUCCACCUGGGGAGUACGGUCGCAAGAAUGAAACUUAAAGGAAUUGACGGGG